rnacentral:lncRNA from 1 species
UCAAAUUGUUCAAUAGGCCUUGAGAAUUCCAAAAGGACAAAAUUAUCGAUUUAGCCACCGAAGUUGACACGUUUUAUUGAAUACAUGAUUGAAUUUUUAAUUUUUUAAAUUACCUAAUUAAACUAAUUAUUAUUAUUAAAUUGGGUCAUUCUGUUAAAUCUAGCAACAUGGACUUAAAAAAGAAAAAGAAAAAAAAAAGAGAAAAAGACAUGGCCUUGUCAUACUGGGCCCCAUCUGCAACACACUGCCCCAAAACUAGCCCAACCACCGGCAAGCACAACCCUCUGGUAGUAGAACAGCUAACGACAGAGCAGAUAAAAUUUAAACAAAAACACCCAAAUUGAUUCAAUCAGAAAUGCUAAAAUAAUGAAAGCUCAUGAAUCAGAAGGGAGCAAUCGGGAAAAAACCCCAUGAAUUCCGACCAAAGGUCAAUAAACACAGACCAUUUUCUAGCGAAAUCCCCUGCAAACCAGAUGAAUUGUUAAAGGACGGUAACAAGGAAAGAGACCCAUCAGCCCAAGUAAAAUUAAAUAAGCAGCAAUACAGAAAAACAUAGACUGAAAGCACUAAAAAUCCAAAAGACUAGAUAUGAACAUGAACAAAGAUAUGCAAUAAUCAAACAUGAAACCAAAUCGAGAAGCACACGAAACAGCAGAAGCAGGGCACAAGACCCAUCCGUGAAAUCAUAAGACCCCAAAUCCAUUACCAUCGGAACCGUAGGACGUAAACAAGUCCGAACCCAGAUUUCGGAGAGCUAACCUCCAAUAUCCAAAAACCCAAACCAUUAAACCCCAAGCAAACACCACAUCAGAUCAUAACACUCACUGCCAUCACACAUCAGAUCAUAACACCCACUAAUUCCGUAGGGGCUGAUUAUUUUAUGGGUGAUUUGAAGGUUGUUGAUAUUGAGUCGGACACAGAGGACAUGAGGGUUUGGAUGAUUUUGCAUUGGGUAAUGAUGAUGAGAGUUCUAGUAGUCUUCAAA